rnacentral:lncRNA from 1 species
GAAUUUCUUUUUUGCCUCCAUUCCAAAGGAAGGGGGGGGAGCAGCCACUCAGCCAUCAAUUGCAAGCAUCACCCUUCUGUGGCAAGAGGCACCUGAAAGGAAGACUUCCGCAUAUCAAUGCACUGCCAAUGGUGGUGUAAUACCAAAGGCUGUACUGCUGCCACAUCACAAUUUUGUGGGGUUUCAGAGAGUAGUUCUGGGUUGUGUCCUUUGUUGUGACCUCA